UACGUAGGGGGCAAGCGUUGUCCGGAAUUAUUGGGCGUAAAGAGCUCGUAGGCGGUUCUUUAAGUCAGGUGUGAAAUCUCAGGGCUCAACUCUGAAACUGCACCUGAUACUGGAGAACUUGAGGCAGGUAGGGGAGAUCGGAAUUCCUGGUGUAGCGGUGAAAUGCGCAGAUAUCAGGAGGAACACCGGUGGCGAAGGCGGAUCUCUGGGCCUGUUCUGACGCUGAGGAGCGAAAGCGUGGGUAGCGAACAGG
rnacentral:misc_RNA from 1 species